AAAAUUAGGGUUAUUUUAAAGAGUGACUCGUUAGAAUGAAAAGUAGCCGUAAAUUUCCCACCCUCACGAUUAUUAAGUGAAUGUCUCUAUUUUCUUUCUUCUCAGACAACACAAAAUAUGCAAUUUAUGUUGUCUGAUUUGUAAAAUGGAUAAGAAAAAUUAAGGCUAAGAUGUAACAGCGGGAAAUCUCCCGCUCUUGCAAUUUAAGGAUGUCAUUUCUUCUCAGAUAACAAAAUAUACAAUUUACGUUGUUUAAUUUGUAAAAUGGAUAGGGAAAAAUUAAGGCUGAGAUAGCUGCGGGAAAUCUCCCGCUCUUGCAAUUUAAGGAUGUCAUUUAUUCGCAGACAACAAAAUAUACAAUUUACGUUGUCUGAUUUGUAAAAUGGAUAGGGAAAAAAUUAAGGCUGAGAUGUAGUCGCGGGAAAUCUCCCGCUCUUUCAAUUUUUAAGGAUGUCAUUUCUUCUCAAACAACAAAAUAUGCAAUUUAAGUUGUCUAAUUUGUAAAAUAAAUAGGGAAAAAAUUAAGGCUGAGAUGUAGCAGCAGGAGAUCUCCCGCUCUUGCAAUUUAAGGAUGUCAUUCUCAGACAAUUAAAAUUUGGAGUUCUGUUGUAUGAUUUGAGAAACACUUAACUCAAAACCUAAAGCACUUGACACUUAGACAAAAAAGAAAAACUAAAACCUCUCUCUCUCACACACACACUCACACUCAAAACCGCUCAUUAAUUUUGUCGAGAGAGAAAGAGAGAGUUAGAGAGAGAGAAGGGCAGAGGAGCCGCUCCCCUUCUAGGCGUGCCUCCUCCGUUGGCCGAUCGGAGACCAGCACUCAACUCUCCCCUCUCUCCUCUACCUCCCCACACCCACAAAAUCGACAUCCAACCAUCCCCUUUCUCAGAUCGAAAAUCCAAACCCUAACCCCAAUUCUGAUUUCUGGCCAAAUCCUCUCUUUUCUGGUGAGCUCAAGCUUCUCAAAGGUAAACUCAUCUCUUUUUUUUCGAUUUCGAGCUCCCUUGAGCUUUGUUUUUCUGUUUGGGACCUAAUCCCUCUUGUCUUCUUCUUUUCUGGGUUCGUCUGCAACGUCGCCAUCGGCGACUCUCCAGCCUUGCAUUCGAUUCUUCAAGGUAAUCCUUUCCUUCUCUCUCCAAUUCUGAGUUAGAUUGGGUUUCAUAUAGUGCACACCACAUGUUUGAUAAAAUGCCUCACAUACACAACAAAGCUGAACAAGUGGGCUUUUCCAUGAUUUUCGAAAAGUCUAUACUUCUUUGUUCAAUUUUAGUUUUUAACAGUUGAAAAUAGACUCUUCAAUGAUCGUUAUAAACUUAGUUUCAAGCAAAACGGAGUUGAUUUGAGAAACUUAUGCUAUUUUAAAAGUUCAUACAGUGUUUCAGAAUUUUCUGCAGAAACUGCAUUUUCAGUUACUUUGGGUCUCUAUUUGACCAUGUAUUUGAACUCCAAACGACUUGAAAUUUUGGGAUAUUGUAUUUUUGUUUGUCUACUUUGAUUCUGGAGAUUUUCAGCUGAAAGUAUUAAAAAUUCCAUUAUUAAUGAAUUUUUCUUUCUUACUAUCUGUUAUUAGGAAAUUUCGUAAAUUGCAGCUUAGUGUUACA
rnacentral:lncRNA from 1 species